rnacentral:rRNA from 1 species
AUGCUCGUCAAUGUGGAUGCAACGAUCUUCUCCCGAUCUGCAAGAGUGGGCUUUGGUGUGGUGAUACGUGAUUACCGGGGAAGGGUGCAAGCGGCAAACAGAGGUUACUUUGAAAGAGUUAAAAUUCCUGAAGUAGCAGAAGCCAUGGCACUUCGUCAAGCCUUAAUUCUUGCCAAUAACACUGCUAGAAGGAAGAUCAUGGUAGCAUCUCAUUGCCUACCAUUGGUUAACAAGCUCAACAGUUUAGGUUUUGAUACGUCCCCUACUGGAGCCAUAGUCCAUGAUAUAGAAAAUGUGUCACAAAAUUUGUAUCUUGUACUUUUAUCCAUGCCAAUAGUUCUUGUAACGAGGCAACACAUGAUCUGGCUAAAUUGGCAGAGCAUGAUGUUUGGUCUGUUGGCUUAA